CUGCAUACUUAAUUGAAUUGAGCCUUGGUAUGGACACCUACUAAGUGGUAGCUCUAAAUUCAGAGAGACCUUGGAAUGAGAAAUGGGCAAUCCUGAGCCAAAUCCUGUUUAGAGAAAACAAAGGUUCCUAGAAAGUGAGAAGGAUAGGUGCAGAGACUCAACGAAAGCUGUUCCAACAAAUGAAAUUGACCUCGUCGGUAGAGGAAUCAAGCCAUAUAUAG
rnacentral:ncRNA from 1 species